rnacentral:piRNA from 1 species
UACCACAUGAUGCACCUCCCCUGUCUGGC